rnacentral:piRNA from 1 species
UGCCUCCAGGUGCUGGAGUUAACAGG